GACGAACGCUGGCGGCGUGCUUAACACAUGCAAGUCAGGGGGGCCCAGCAAUGGGCAACCGGCGAACGGGUGCGUAACACGUGAGCAACCUGCCCGCUUCUGGGGGAUAGCCGGCCCAACGGCCGGGUAAUACCGCAUACGUCAUUCUGGUGGCAUCACCGGGGUGGGAAAGCCGCAAGGCGGAGGCGGAGGGGCUCGCGGCCUAUCAGCUAGUUGGUGCGGUCACGGCGCACCAAGGCGACGACGGGUAGCUGGUCUGAGAGGAUGGCCAGCCACAUUGGGACUGAGAGACGGCCCAGACUCCUACGGGGAGGCAGCAGUGGGGGAAUCUUGCGCAAUGGCCGAAAGGCUGACGCAGCGACGCCGCGUGUGGGAGGACGCCCUUCGGGGUGUAAACCACUGUUGCCCGGGACGAACCCCU
rnacentral:rRNA from 1 species